rnacentral:rRNA from 1 species
UACGUAGGUGGCAAGCGUUGUUCGGAAUUACUGGGCGUAAAGGGCGCGUAGGUGGCCUUCUAAGUUGAACGUGAAAUCCCUGGGCUCAACCCAGGAACUGCGUCCAAGACUGGGAGGCUUGAAUCCGGGAGAGGGAUGCGGAAUUCCAGGUGUAGCGGUGAAAUUCGUAGAUAUCGGGAGGAACACCAGUGGCGAAGGCGGCGAUCUGGACAGAUAUUGACGCUGAGGUGCGAAAGCGUGGGGAGCAAACAGG